AACAAAUCAAUUUUUCAGUUUUUAGAUAGAAUGUUUGACUCUUUGUCUUAUUAAAAACAUUUACGAUUAAUAAUUUUAUUUUUAUUAGAUGAUAAAACAUAAAUAGUAUUUUAUAUGUGACUAAUUUUUUAAAAAAAUUUUAAAAUUUUUUUAAAUAAGACGAAUGGUCAAACUCUCGACACAAAACCGAAAAGUU
rnacentral:pre_miRNA from 1 species